rnacentral:rRNA from 1 species
CCCUUAGAUGUUCUGGGCCGCACGCGCGCUACACUGACUGGUUCAUCGAGCUUACAACCUUGACUGAUAGGUUUGGGUAAUCUUUUGAAAGCCAGUCGUGAUGGGGAUAGAUUAUUGUAAUUUUUAAUCUUCAACGAGGAAUUCCUAGUAAACGCAAGUCAUCAACUUGCGUUGAUUACGUCCCUGCCCUUUGUACACACCGCCCGUCGCUACUACCGAUUGAAUGGUUUAGUGAGAUGUUUGGACCGGAACUCUCUUGCUCAGCAAUGGGCGAGAGAGAGUCUGGGAAGUCCCUCUAACUGUAUCAUUUAGAGGAAGUAAAAGUCGUAACA